UUUGGAUGCAUUUCUGCCAGAGCAACUGCCUUUUCCUUAUAUUCAAAUGAAAUAAAUUCAUAAUCGCAAAAAGACUGCAAUUCCUCUGGGAUGAACUCGGCACUCUCUUUACUUGUAUAUUCAUCCUUACACUAUGAACAAAGAAAUUACAUUGUUACGAUUCUCUUUUAUGCCACGUUCACUGACUUACAAGUUAAUAAAUAAAAAACCAAAAGACACAAUUAUUAGCAAAACAUUUAAAACAUACCUGUUCAUAUUCUUUCCAAUUGUCAACAGUAAUGUCAUCGGUAAGUAUAAGAUCUUCGUCUAUUAUAAUUUUUCGAUCUUCCUGCAUGAACUUGAUCUCCUUAAAAAUUUCUUUGCCCAUAGCAAUGGAAAUGUCAGAUAUAAUUGUAGGUGGUGUGUUUGUUAACAGAUUUUCUGCUUCCAGCAAGCUCUUACAAUAAAUAAGAGCAUUUGUUAAAGCAUUUUUCAUCU
rnacentral:lncRNA from 1 species